rnacentral:rRNA from 1 species
AAGUAAAAAGUGUAACAAGGUCUCCGUUGGUGAACCAGCGGAGGGAUCAUUACCGAGUUUACAACUCCCAAACCCCUGUGAACAUACCACUUGUUGCCUCGGCGGAUCAGCCCGCUCCCGGUAAAACGGGACGGCCCGCCAGAGGACCCCUAAACUCUGUUUCUAUAUGUAACUUCUGAGUAAAACCAUAAAUAAAUCAAAACUUUCAACAACGGAUCUCUUGGUUCUGGCAUCGAUGAAGAACGCAGCAAAAUGCGAUAAGUAAUGUGAAUUGCAGAAUUCAGUGAAUCAUCGAAUCUUUGAACGCACAUUGCGCCCGCCAGUAUUCUGGCGGGCAUGCCUGUUCGAGCGUCAUUUCAACCCUCAAGCACAGCUUGGUGUUGGGACUCGCGUUAAUUCGCGUUCCCCAAAUUGAUUGGCGGUCACGUCGAGCUUCCAUAGCGUAGUAGUAAAACCCUCGUUACUGGUAAUCGUCGCGGCCACGCCGUUAAACCCCAACUUCUGAAUGUUGACCUCGGAUCAGGUAGGAAUACCCGCUGAACUUAAGCAUAUCAAU